GGCUUGAUGACUUUGACCCGAAGAGAUCACUCACUGCUGCCUCGCUCUGGACCGAUCAGCCGGGUUAUCGUGGUAAAGACCGAUCAACGAUGAAAUGAUGGUGUUUUGAUCGGCCAAACAAAGGAAGAAGCAUGCCUAAACAUGUCCCUCAUCACGCCGUCAUAAGGACACCACCCUGUGCCGACUGGUCUAACCCCCAGUCCCCGGAUUUGGCAAAUACCCAUGUGGAGUAGAGUUGAAACUCGGGCGCUCCUGCAGCAGCUGGUAGGGCACGCAGAUUUGUCUCUCGAGUACAUUGAACAUGUAAUCUCCCCUGUCGUCUCGGGAGGAUAUCUGAUCGAUCUCCUCUAGUGUUUGUCUGCUCGAUCAGUCGACGAUGGAGAUGAACUUGGUCGGCCAAGAGUGGCUACUAGAUCCAGUACACAAAUUUCAGCUUGAAAGUUCGUCUCUGGCCGCAGCAGGUUGGAC
rnacentral:lncRNA from 1 species